GACGAACGCUGGCGGCGUGCUUAACACAUGCAGGUCGAACGGUGAAGCGCCUUCCUUUUUGGUGGGUGUGGAUGAGUGGCGAACGGGUGAGUAACACGUGAGUAACCUGCCCCCUUCUUCUGGAUAACCGCAUGAAAGUGUGGCUAAUACGGGAUAUUCUGGGUCUGUCGCAUGAUGGGUCUGGGAAAGAUAUUGUUUCGGUGGGGGAUGGGCUCGCGGCCUAUCAGCUUGUUGGUGGGGUGAUGGCCUACCAAGGCGGUGACGGGUAGCCGGCCUGAGAGGGGGGGGGGUCACACGGGGACGGAGACACGGCCCAGACCCCUAGGGGGGGCAGCGGUGGGGAAUAUUGCACAAGGGGGGAAGGCCUGAUGCGGGGACGCCGGGUGAGGGGGGGGGGCCUUCGGGUUGGGAACCUCUUUCGCCAGGGAAGCAGGCCUGCCUCGUUUGUGGGUGGGUGGACGGGAGCUGGAUAAGAAGCGCCGGCUAACUACGU
rnacentral:rRNA from 1 species